GACGAACGCUGGCGGCGUGCUUAACACAUGCAAGUCGAACGGAAAGGCCCUGCUUUUGUGGGGUGCUUGAGUGGCGAACGGGUGAGUAACACGUGAGUAACCUGCCCUUGACUUUGGGAUAACUUCGGGAAACUGGGGCUAAUACCGGAUAGGAGCUCCUGCUGCAUGGUGGGGGUUGGAAAGUUUCGGCGGUUGGGGAUGGACUCGCGGCUUAUCAGCUUGUUGGUGGGGUAGUGGCUUACCAAGGCUUUGACGGGUAGCCGGCCUGAGAGGGUGACCGGCCACAUUGGGACUGAGAUACGGCCCAGACUCCUACGGGAGGCAGCAGUGGGGAAUAUUGCACAAUGGGCGGAAGCCUGAUGCAGCAACGCCGCGUGCGGGAUGACGGCCUUCGGGUUGUAAACCGCUUUCGCCUGUGACGAAGCGUGAGUGACGGUAAUGGGUAAAGAAGCACCGGCUAACUACGUG
rnacentral:rRNA from 1 species